GACGAACGCUGGCGGCGUGCUUAACACAUGCAAGUCGAACGGAAAGGCCCUGCUUUUGUGGGGUGCUCGAGUGGCGAACGGGUGAGUAACACGUGAGUAACCUCCCCUUGACUUUGGGAUAUCUUCACGAAACUGGGGCUAUUACCCGAUAGGAGCUCCUGCUGCAUGGUGUUGGUUGGAAAGAUUCGGCGGUUGGGGCUGGACUGGCGGCUUAUGAGCUUGUUGGUGGGGUAGUGGCUUACCAAGGCUUCGACGGGUAGCCGGCCUGAGAGGGUGACCGGCGACAUGGGGACUGAGGGACGGCCCAGAAGCGUACGUGAGGCAGUAGUGGGGAGCAUGGCACAGUGGGCGGAAGCCUGAGGUGGAAACGUCCGGAGCGGGAUGACGGCCUACGGGGUGUAAACAGAUGUGGCAGUUGACGAAGCGUGAGUGACGGUAAUGGGUAAAGAAGCACCGGCUAACUACGUG
rnacentral:rRNA from 1 species